rnacentral:rRNA from 1 species
GACGAACGCUGGCGGCGUGCUUAACACAUGCGAGUCGAACGGAAAGGCCCUGCUUUUGUGGGGUGCUCGAGUGGCGAACGGGUGAGUAACACGUGAGUAUCCUGCCCUUGACUUUGGGAUAACUUCAGGAAACUGGGGCUAAUACCGGAUAGGAGCUCCUGCUGCAUGGUGGGGGUUGGAAAGUUUCGGCGGUUGGGGAUGGACUCGCGGCUUAUCAGCUUGUUGGUGGGGUAGUGGCUUACCAAGGCUUUGACGGGUAGCCGGCCUGAGAGGGUGACCGGCCACAUUGGGACUGAGAUACGGCCCAGACUCCUACGGGAGGCAGCAGUGGGGAAUAUUGCACAAUGGGCGGAAGCCUGAUGCAGCAACGCCGCGUGCGGGAUGACGGCCUUCGGGUUGUAAACCGCUUUCGCCUGUGACGAAGCGUGAGUGACGGUAAUGGGUAAAGAAGCACCGGCUAACUACGUG